rnacentral:rRNA from 1 species
ACGGCUCAGUAACACGUGGACAACCUACCCUUGGGUCUGGCAUAAUCCUGGGAAGCUGGGUAUAAUUCCAGAUAGGUCACAGAUGCUGGAAUGCACUGUGGCCGAAAGCUCCGGCGCCCAAGGAUGGGUCUGCGGCCUAUCAGGGUUGUAGUGGGUGUAACGGACCUACUAGCCUACGACGGGUACGGGUUGUGAGAGCAAGAGCCCGGAGAUGGAUUCUGAGACACGAAUCCAGGCCCUACGGGGUGCAGCAGGCGCGAAAACUUUACAAUGCGGGAAACCGUGAUAAGGGAAUCUCGAGUGCCAGCAUAUAAUGUUGGCUGUCCAGAUGCCUAAAAAGCAUCUGUUAGCAAGGGCCGGGCAAGACCGGUGCCAGCCGCCGCGGUAACACCGGCGGCCCGAGUGGUAACCGCUUUUAUUGGGUCUAAAGGGUCUGUAGCCGGCCAAGUAAGUCCCUUGGGAAAUCUGGCAGCUUAACUGUCAGGCUGCUAGGGGAUACUGCUAGGCUUGGGACCGGGAGAGGUGAGAGGUACCUUGGGGGUAGGGGUGAAAUCUUGUGAUCCUCGGGGGACCACCAGUGGCGAAGGCGUCUCACCAGAACGGGUCCGACGGUAAGGGACGAAAGCUAGGGGCACGAACCGGAUUAGAUACCCGGGUAGUCCUAGCCGUAAACGAUGCUCGCUAGGUGUCAGUCACGGUGCGACCGUGAUUGGUGCCGUAGGGAAGCCGUGAAGCGAGCCACCUGGGAAGUAUGGCCGCAAGGCUGAAACUUAAAGGAAUUGGCGGGGGAGCAC